GUUGGGUCAAGGUAUUGAACGCAUAGUCUUUGCUGGGGGAAGCAUUUUGAUUUUUCUUUAGUGGAGAGCGUAAUGAACAACCUCGAAGGGCAGGAGGAUUCUGCUCCUGUCAAGAAAGAUAUUCAAGGAAUAAUUGUGAGCCAAUAAGCAAAAUGUCAUUUUCAACUGUUUGUCCCAACCUCUGUGGAUUUGGGAACUACUGUCUUCACUAAGGACACAUGGGGAAGCAAAUUUGCCAACUUUGCCCAGGACCAUGAGAAUGAAAAAUCUGCCAUUCCCAAACGACCUGGAUUACAUAACUAUCAUCUGGAAACACUUAACAGCUAAUAAAAUUAACUUCUGGAACCACAAUCGAUGGCACACUGAAUGAUUUCUUGGCUGAUAAGUUGUAUUGAGCCUGCUCAUUAUGUCAUAUCAUUAAGCAAUGAUUUCCACUGCUUCUGGAAUCUGGUUCCAAACCUGGACCACAAAACAAAGCCUUAACGUUCACAUGUGCACCAGAGCUUCAGUCUCAUCACCAGCAGUGUUGCUGGGCUCCCUUCUGGAGAGCCACAGCGCCUCUCACUGUGACCAGACCCAGCCCCUCCAGCAGAAGGGCUCAGGAAGGCGAGGGAGACAGCUUCCAUUUGUGGGAAGGCUAUUUAGCUCCUUGCUACUCAAAGUGUGUCCUUAAGGGGCUGCAUUGACAUGCCCAGGGAGUGGGUGAGAAAGGCGGGCUCCCAGGGCCCACCUAGGCCUGUCAGAACCCAGGUUGCUGGGUGACUCUUGUGCACAUUCAGAUCUGGCCAGCACGUGAUCUUUAGAUUUGCUGGGAUAAUGGUGACUUUUCACUUUUCCCUUGUUUUACGAGUUACGGAAACCCAGUACAUACCAUUUAAAAUCAGUGACAGUGACAGCAAUUGUGGUUGCUGUCUUUUCCCGAGGGCUCUCUAGGGCUGUGCUCUGCAUUGGAGCUUUAGGAGCAUGAUCCUUUGAAUCCUCCUGCCAGCCCUGUGUCCUACACAGGUGCUGUUACUAUCCCAUUUCACUGAUGACAAAGCUGAGCAUGGAAGGGUAGAACUGCUGUGCCCAGCAUGGUCAGGCCGUGGCCGAGCCAUGACUGGAAUCUGUUUCCAGAGCCCAGGACUUUCUAGGUUAUAAAAAUCACCUUGAUCACUGCAAACCCCUAAGCAGCUGCCAGUAACGUGCAGUUUGGUGCUUUGCAAUUGGCUCUGGGGCAGAGGCUGGGCAGGGCCUGAAGACUCUACGUGCAUCCAAGAAGCUUGCAAGGUGAGAGGUAGAGGCAAAACCUUC